UUUUAGAAAAUAACUAGGGUCUAGGGCUUUUCUUUCAUUGCCGUCUUCCCGUCAGCCUCCACUCCACACGACCACUCCAGGUGCUUCCCGUCUGCCGUGCCUCCCUCCGGCCACCGGCGCCGACCACCAGCUAGCGCCGCCGUCUGAAAUACUCACGACCACUCCAGGUGCUUCUCGGAUUUCAAGUUUUCAGAGUUUUCAACUCUGAAAUACUCUUCCCACCGACCACCAGCUAGCGCCGCCGUCUGCUACGAACCAGCGCCACCGUUUGGAACUAACCGGCGCCGCCGCUGCCCCCUAAGACAGCAGGUUAGUAUUUCCUUCUCACUCUCAAACUUGAUAGAUUAGAUAAUAAUGGUGGAUGGGUGUAUUUGUGAUACAUUCUGAUUUCUGAAAUGGAUUUAUGUAAUUAUGCCCCACCCCUAGCUAGUAAGCUCCGCCCCUGUUUGUGUAAGAACUUGUUGAUGGCAUUGUGUGUUGCUUUUCAAAAAAAUUGAAUCUUUUCAAAUUGUUCCAUUAAAAUCAUGAUGACAGAAUUGCUUUUGAAGUAUCAUGAGGUUUCAGAACAAGAUGUCUUGAUUCGAAAAUCAUUUGUUUUAACUUCAGAUUAAGAUUAAAUCAUAGCUGAAGUUUUAUCUGCUAGAUGCAUAUUUACUCCUUGCCAUAGUCUAAGUGUGGACUGAACAGAUGAAUUGGAGUGCAUGUUGAACUACUACAUUAGGAUUAGUAAAUUUCUACUAUAUAAAUCACAUGAAUUUUGUUUACUUUAAUUGUUGCCUAGGUUGGAAAUUCAUAAUUAUUAGAGUUGUUCUGUUUUUUUUUUUUUUAAAUUACAAUUCUCUAUAAAACAUUUUUUUGUUCCAAAUAAUUAUAGGUUAUGAGUUGGUGUACUGGAUAGGACUCCAUCCUUUCUUCUAAAGGUGAGUUCAAAUCCCACAUCCUACAAAAUUCAAUUUUUUUAAAAUUUCAUAAAAUACAAGUUAACCGGUCCAUUAACCGGUUCGGUUACCGGUUAGGAGAUUGCUCCUUAUCCGGUUCCGGUUAACCGGUAAACCGGUUCAAUUAAAAUCGAACCGUUUAACCGAACCGGACCGAUUACCAGCCCUAAAAAAUACACAUAAUUUGUCACUUUUCUGAUUUAUAAUAUAUUAAUAUGACCUUUUAAUUUGAUCAGAAAAUACACUACUUUUUAAUUUGAUUGUAAUUGUUAUAAAUCAAAAAAUUGGCAAACUAUGUGUAUUUUUUGGCAAUAGCCCCAUCAUUUUUUUUUUCCCGAUUAAAAUAUGUUGACCCUAAAUAUUUCGACACACUAGGUUUCAGGCUAGCCUGUCGAACCUGCAAAUUUACGAUUUUUUUACAUGUAUGAUUUUUUAUUGAUAAUCAUAUAAUUGUAAGAAAAAAUAGGCCUUGUUUUUUUUAGUCAAGACACUUCAACUCGUUUUAGAAUUUGAUAUUUUGGGCUAAUCAGUUUGUUUUAUUUUUCGAAAUAAAAUAUGUUGACUCUAAAUAUUUCGACCCACUAGGUUUCAGGCUAACCCAUCGGACCCGCAAAUUUAUGAUUUCUUUACAUGUAUGACUUUUUUUAGGGUAAAUAUCACUUUCUGUCCCAUCGUUUGUUCGAAUUAUUGAUUAUGUUUCAACUUUUCGAUAAUAUCUAAUUGGUACCCAACCUACCAACAUUUUUUUAAUUGUGUCCCUUAAAAAUUUUCCGACGCUCGGAAAUUGACGUGGAACGCUGGAAAUUUAUUACGUGGAAUUAUUAAUCCACUUGGAAUUGCCAACAUUAUUAUAGUACUUUAUUAUACUUAAAAAAAGAGUAAAAUAAUACAUCCCCUAAACUAAACGUCGUCGUAUCCAAUUCAUCAAAAUCCCAAAUCAAAGAACAUAUCCAGAAUUGCAGAUAACUUAAUAGUAAAUGCUCUUGAACAGUUCAAAUUCGAUUUGAGGCAUAAGCAAAUGGGCGGUUCGAAGAAGAAGAAGAAGCGGAGCGGUGGCAGAGGCCACCGCGCCCAGUCAAAGGACCAUCACUCGACUGACGCCGAUAAUUCUAAAAUUUUAACCAAGGAAGUAACUGCGUUGUGAGUUUUUUCUUAUUUUUGAAUUUUUAACGAACACAUUUUAUAUUAUUGUUGUUUUAAUCAUUCUAGUGAACUACUAUGUGUAGAUAUUUUGUUCAGUGAAUGUACGGUCAAUAGUUUGAGCUCCUGAAUCACCUCCUCGUAUCAACAUCAAGCUCAGGUUCCAGAUUUGUGAUAAUUCAUGGACAUUAAACCUUAGGCUUCAUGUACUUGGUGCAGAUGCUUACCAGGUUAUCCAUAUAAAUGCCCGAAGCUGCAGAUAAUACCAGAGAAAAAGCUUAUAAAAAACUAAUGCUGAUAAUCUUUUAUCUUUACUUUAUGAUCAUGUAGGACCUUAGUGAUAGCCAGAGGAGGAGGACGAUUACUAGAUAUGUUCUUUAAUUUGGGAUUUUGAUGAAUUGGAUACGACAGCGUUUAGUUCAGGGGAUGUAUUAUUUUACUCUCUUUUUUUAAGUAUAAUAAAGUAUAAUAAUACUGACAAUUUCAGGUGGAUUAAUAAGUCCAUGUAAUCAAACUCUUCGGGCGCCGAAAAUGUUUUAAGGGACACAAUUAAAAAAAUGUUGGUAGGUUGGGUACCAAUUAGAUAUUAUCGAAAAAUUGGGAUAUAAUCGAUAAUUCGGCCAAACGAUGGGACAGAA
rnacentral:lncRNA from 1 species